AUGUUGUUUGCUUCUUUACGGUUUACUUCUCGCGUUAGCUUCGGGUUCCGUUCCGGAGUUGUGAGGAUUCGUUCGACUACAUCCGUUUGUCUUCUUCAUGGACUCGUUCUUCUUCCUUGCGGGAUUUCAGGCAAGAUGACCAUACCAUUGAAAUCACUUCUAUCUUUGCUUGCUAGUUGCCCGCUCUAUUGCUAUGUCGCGAUACCUACCACUUGCUUUAUCAUGCCUCCCAUAUUGCCAUGUCAAGCCUCUAACCCACCUUUCCUAGCAAACCGUUGUUUGGCUAUGUUACCGCUUUGCUCAGCCCCUCUUAUAGCGUUGCUAGUUGCAGGUGAAGAUGGAGUUUGUUCCAUGUUGGAACAUGUUUAUGUUGGGAUAUCACAAUAUCUCUUAUUUAAUUAA
rnacentral:rRNA from 1 species